rnacentral:rRNA from 1 species
CAAACGACUCUCGGCAACGGAUAUCUUGGCUCUCGCAUCGAUGAAGAACGCAGCGAAAUGCGAUACUUGGUGUGAAUUGCAGAAUCCCGUGAACCAUCGAGUUUUUGAACGCAAGUUGCGCCCGAAGCCUUCGGGUUGAGGGCACGUCUGCCUGGGUGUCACAC